rnacentral:lncRNA from 1 species
GUGAAUGCUGAAUUUCUCAUAGUUUGUUUUGAUGGUAUUGAUAUAAUAGGUUGCUCAAUCAAGCUAAAUCCUUGUGUUUCUAUUUUGCAGGAGUGGCUUUGGUGCCUAGGCCCCUUUCUUAGAGCUCGACUGUACUUCGCCAAGAAACUCCAUGGUAAAGAGGGUCUAGAGCGGACAAUAGUUCGCGUGAAGAGCAUCCUGGCAAGACACAAAGUGGAAAUAACAAACUCCCCCUGGCGCAGCUUACCUGAACUUACUAACGCCGGGGGGGUGCCAUGUCAUGAUGGCUGUCCUGCACAGGCAUGGUCUGUAAGCUGCUUGUUAGAUGUAUUGUACGAUAUGGAGAAAUUAGUUCAAGGAGACAAUACAACUUGACUGUAGCUAGAAGGCUGGUCUUUUAAGCCGUUAGUUUGGAUUCCGUAACGUAAUGUCACGUCACGUAACGCUUGGGUCGUCUCAUGGCGUGACACCGGGUUGCAUACGCAGCCGUUAUUUUGGUCACGUAACGUUACAUCACGUGCAGCCGUUCUCUAUGGUCGCGUAACGUUACGUUACACAUAGUAACCUUUAGUUGGCGUGUAAGUGUUGUUUUGGGUCGUGAGGUAAAAUGGAGUAGCUAGGUAGCUAUUUAAUUAGACGAUUUAUUCCGUAAAUGAAAUUGCGUUCACACUAAUUCCAAAAGACAUGUUUAUUUUCCACAAGCUUGUUUCUAAUUGCGUUGUUAACAUUAGGUGGCUAUGUUUCAAGUCAAGUUUCGUUAUUUAUUUCGUUUUACGGUAGAUACAUCAGAUUGUUAUAGCUACACAUAAAAGCGAGAAUUGGUGCUCGAACUUCAUGUUGCAGUUAUUUUAUUAGCCUCCCUUCGUUCAGUUAGUUCACGCCGUUUUUUCGCGCCGCGCUCCAACUAACUGAACGCGUGGAAGAGGCUAUUAUUUCAGUUAUGGUCUAAUUCAAGAGGCAACUUACUUCCUUUUCGCUUUUUGUAUCUCUUAAGGUACAAUCAUGUUCUGACUAAAUGUAUUUCGAUCAUUUUUUUAUGCAGUGCACCUUUUAAAGAUUCAUAAUAAAACAUGUUUCAUUCAUGCGUAGACUAAACGUGUUUAGGAGAGUGUGAACGCAGUACAAGUCUCGUCUACUGAAUGCAGGACGACAAGUCUUUCAAAACGGCUCUUAUAGUGUCAAGGUGUCCCGAAAAAUUACUAAAAUUUCUUAAACUAUAUUAGGUUAUUUAGGUAUUUUCUGGUUUGUGCGUAGUCGUAUCUUUAUGUUCAUCCUGGGCUUAUUUUUUGGCGAGCAGGACGGUCUGUUUCAAAGCAGCGUGGUAAGAUCCCUGCUCAAAGUUUGUGUUCGAGUGAAUGUCCCGAGGAAAUGGGCAGGACUGCACGCGGCAGUCUAAAUGUAUUAUUAGUGUAUUAUUAGUAUUUAACUCAUUGUAAUUCAGAGGUAGGAUGCGAGAAGUCUCAUUAGGUGUAAUCUUAAAUCUUCUGUAUAGCUCCAGAUCGAUAAUUUUUUGGUUUUCUCGUCUGAUUCAUUUCUUUUAAUUAAUCGUUGAUCAUAACGUGGGGAAACAGACUUCCCAGAUAACAGCCAAUCAGAGACGGUAUAUAGUAUCACGUCAUCAGUCUUGGAUUUUCGGGUGGGGUUGGGUUGGGGGGGCGGGAGCAGAGAACGGUGGAUCUGAGCUCUCAUAGGAGAUGUGCGUUUUCUCGGGCUGUGUUCAUCAGAAUCAAGUGUAGGUAGUAAACACGGUAUCUGCGGCAUAAGUUCGCAAACAGAAAACAGCAGCAGAAAACUUUGUCGCCAAUGCGUUUGCGGGAUCUUUUGGGUAUAGGAGGUAAGGUUUAAAAUGGUGGCAACGGAGAGCAAGAAAAUUAAACAGUCCUCGAACUGAAUGUACUGAUUGAUUCAGAAAGCACAAUCCAGUGAUUAUUUUAAUCUUUGAAAGACAUUUCAGCGUUCAACAGACGCCAUCUUAUCCACCCAAACGAUUCCAGAAACCAUCACGCACUGAUGUACUCAGUCUCUCCAUAUUUCUAGACUAUACCGUCUAUACGGAAUAAUAAAUGAUCUUUGUAUUGUGUGUAGAGAGACUAAAAGUAAGCUUUUAAAAUAUUAAUCUAUCAGUAGUUAUCGCUACCAAUAAAAUCAUCAAAUAAUUGUCACGUGGGCGUAAUGUCAUAUCUCUUUGAUGACGACAUUUAUGUGACGUCAUUUAACUACAAUGAAAAACCCUGCAGUUACUGGGAGCGAGGUCUGGCAGUUUUUUUGAUAUUAAAAGCUGUUGUGUUUAACGUCUCAUUUGGGAUUUUCAGAAUUUAACGAGGAAAGAAUAUUUGAGUAAAGGGACAAAGGAAAGCAA